rnacentral:lncRNA from 1 species
UAGCUUCCCCGCCACUCCUCUAAAAUCCCUCCUCAAAAACCCCAAGUUAAAAAAAAAAAAGAUCUAUUCUUGUAGAUUUUUUUUGUGUGGGUCUAUGUUUCAUUCAUCUGCUUUCAGGCUGGAUUUAUAACAAGCAGAACUUUUAAAACGCUUCAGGAAAAAGAGGACCUUAGAACUGAAGGAGCAAGAUUCCAACAUCACACUGUUUUUGUUAGCUGUGUGUGUGUGUUUCCUGUGUAUCCAAAAGACAGAGGAGAUGAAAAAGCAAAAGAAAAGAAACGAGGAAUCAGAUUGGAAAGAAGGUUUCUCCAGGACGUCACCUGUAUGAGGUACACAGUGUGAUGACACACUCUGUGCUUUUCCUACUUGUGUCCACGUGAGUGUCUGGAGCUGCCCUUCAAGGAGAGCAAUAGAUGAAUGAUUCUGCCUUCCCGCUGAGAGGGAUGUGGGUCCUGCGGAUGGUCGGGGUGAAGCUUCCUCUCCUUUCUGCUGACAGCACUUCCUCAUUAAAUGCAGAGAUCUGCAAAAAGGGAAAAUAAAAACACAAGAAGAAA